rnacentral:rRNA from 1 species
AGCGAACGUUAGCGGCAGGCUUAACACAUGCAAGUCGAGCGAGAAAGAGGGUUUCGGCCCUCGAGUAAAGCGGCGUACGGGUGAGUAACACGUGGGUAAUCUGCCCUCCGGUGGGGGACAACAACCCGAAAGGGUUGCUAAUACCGCAUUCGUCGGCGAGCUCUGCGGAGCACGUCGGGAAAGGUGCCCUCUACUUGUAAGGUACCGCCGGAGGAGGAGCCCGCGUCCCAUCAGCUAGUUGGUAGGGAACGGCCUACCAAGGCAAAGACGGGUAGCUGGUCUGAGAGGAUGAUCAGCCACACUGGGACUGAGACACGGCCCAGACUCCUACGGGAGGCAGCA